CUCCUCCCAACCGCUCCCGCCGGGGCCCGCCAUGCCGCCCUCGGCCUCGCUUCGGAGGCCGCGCAGCCGGCAGGCCGGCUUCCCUCCCGAGGCCUCCCCGACCAAGCCGCGCCUCCAAGGGGCCGCCUGUGCAGCCGAAGGUGAAGGCGAGGCGGGCGAGGGGCCCCAAGGAGGUCUCCAACUCUCGCUCCCCUCCCCCUCCCACAGCCUGUCUCAACGCAAGAGCGCGGGACGGCCGACCCGGUCCACCCGGCCUCCCCGCUCCCACCGAACCAGGCCCCCAACGCCGGCCAUUCCCCACCAACCCCCCGCUCUCCCCCUAAUACCUCCUCCCCCCGGCGGCGACGGCGACGGCCGGAGUCGGGCUGGGGGCGACCGGGCGGCGGUUUUACCUCCAUUUUGAGACCGGACUCGCCUCUUCCAACUCGAGUUCAAUAUGGGACCGAGAGGAAGAGGCGGGGCCAGUCGUCACGUGACGCGUUUUCCGCGCGCCGCCAGUCUGUUGGGGGAGGAGCGAAUUGGGAAGGGGGCGGAGCCAAGCGGGCGCGAAGAGGGACUGGACCAGCGGGUUGGCGGGCGGAGGGCGGAGGCGCGGCGUGCCGCGGGAGCGCGCGCGCCUCGCCAGCUUUCAGGGGAAGAGGGCCUUUGCCGCCGUUCGCGUCAGGGCGAGUUCCGGGACGUCAGUGCGGUCUCCGCCAAUGGUUGCAAGAAAAACUCCUCGGCCCCUCGGACCAUCUUUCCUGUUUCCAAAUGCCGGGGACCAGUGUCUGUGACUGCGCCGCCUGCCUGAGGGCAUGUACUGAAAAGCCCUGCGACUCCAACAUGUGGGACUCACAAGCACCUUGGACAGGCCUCAAAACGCGGCUGACAUACAGAAUUUUUACCAUUAACGACCUGAGGCAGGACUGGUGGAGGUCAGUUCAUUAGUUACUGAUCUCAAGAAACAAGUCAGGACUAUUUUCUAAUGUGCUUCUUUCAAGUUAGUGUGGAAAGAGCUGAUGCAUCUGUUGUAGCUGACGGAAUUUAAGGAACUGAAUAAUUGACAAGAUUUCCAGAAAAGCAGGGUCGCCAGAUAAUGCUACCUGUUUGCGAAUGAUUGUUACCGUAAUGCUCUAGAGAGCUAAUCCUUUCUCGGCCUAGUCAGAUGAUUUUAAAUCAUUUGAUUUUACAGAGCUUUAGUUUCAGUUUUUUAAAUGAAAAUGGGGAUGGGAUUAGGUCAUCUUCUAACACCCACGACAGCCAUAAAUUGAUAAUCUAUGGAUCCAUAUUUAAAGUUACUGAUAAAAAUAACCACAAUUGACCAGCCUCCCUUCCCUGUUAGGAAAUGCUUUAUAUUUUAAUUUAGCAACCCAUGUGACCAACCCUUUUAGAAUUGAACUGGCUCUCCCUAGGAAAGGUUAGAAAUCUAAUCAGUUAUAGUAAGUUUCUGUUAACAAAUGGGGAGUGGUCGACUUGGAGUUUGGAAAAGGGGAGCGUAAAGUCUAAAAGUUUGUUAAUUUAUCUAGCCGUUGCUCCAGGAGGACCUGUGUUAUAGUUUGGAAACAUUUACAAAGGGUAUUUUUGUGGGGCAGAAAACAGUUAGCAGUCCUUAAUGUAAUUUGGUUGAAAUAACCGUUCAAACCAGACUCCUCCUGUUGCUUUGAUUCCUUUUUCGCAAACUUUCUUAUGUUCUACGUAUCCAGGUGCUCCUGAUGGCCAGCAAUAGACUUGAGACAUUGGAAGAAUGUAUAGCCUUAGCGUCUAUUUAGUGUUAAGAUUUUGUAAGUCUAAUUACUGUGAAAUAGUCCUGGUAACUUUAUCGAUUCUGGAUACAAAGAAAAAUGCAAAGUGAAAGACCUUUGGAAAUUGCUAUUCACACCAGAGUACUCUAUGAGACAUUACAUAGGUGAUCAAGAAGAGUGAUCACCUGGCUGCACUUUAGGGUAUGUUUGUCCAGGUUUUUCUAAUAAGUUAAUUCUAAUCAAUAACUUUUGUUCUAAUUAGUAACUUUUGUAUAAAUGUUAAUGUUAAAUCGCGAAACAAUGUGGGAUGGGAUACUAAGUUCUCUCCAGGAACAUGAAAUGUCAGCCCAUUUAUUCACAUCUUUUUGUCCUCCCUAUUGUAUUGGUCCAGAUUUGUUGUUCAUCCUGACUGUAUGCUGUUUUUAGACAUUAGUUAUUUUUUAUGCUUUUGUCUAAACAAGCUCUGGCCGGGCGCCAUGGCUCACACCUGUAAUCCCAGGCCUUUGGGAGGCCGAGGUAGGCAGG
rnacentral:lncRNA from 1 species